GCCCGCCUAGCUCAAUCGGCUAGAGCGUCAGACUUUUAUCCUUUCAGUGAGGGUAUCUGAAGGCUGCGAGUUCGACCCUCGCGGUGGGCU
rnacentral:tRNA from 1 species